rnacentral:rRNA from 1 species
UACGAGGGAAGCAAGCGUUGUUCGGAUUUACUGGGCGUAAAGGGCGCGUAGGUGGGUUGGUAAGUCCGUGGUGAAAUCUCCGAGCUUAACUCGGAAACUGUCGUGGAUACUAUCAAUCUUGAAUACUGUGGAGGUAAGCGGAAUAUGUCAUGUAGCGGUGAAAUGCUUAGAUAUGACAUAGAACACCGAUAGCGGAGGCAGCUUGCUACACAGUCAUUGACACUGAGGCCACGGAAAGCGUGGAGAUCAAACAGG